rnacentral:rRNA from 1 species
GAUGAACGCUAGCGGCAGGCUUAAUACAUGCAAGUCGUGGGGCAGCACAGGUAGCAAUACUGGGUGGCGACCGGCAAACGGGUGCGGAACACGUACGCAACCUUCCUUUAAGCGGGGAAUAGCCCAGGGAAACUUGGAUUAAUACCCCAUAAGACAAUAACAUGGCAUCAUGUAGUUGUUAAAGCUCCGGCACUUAAAGAUGGGCGUGCGGCUGAUUAGGUAGUUGGCGGGGUAACGGCCCACCAAGCCAACGAUCAGUAACUGGUGUGAGAGCACGACCAGUCACACGGGCACUGAGACACGGGCCCGACUCCUACGGGAGGCAGCAGUAAGGAAUAUUGGUCAAUGGACGCAAGUCUGAACCAGCCAUGCCGCGUGGAGGAUGAAGGCCCUCUGGGUUGUAAACUUCUUUUAUUGGGGAAGAACUCUAUCUUUUCUAAGGUAGUUGACGGUACCCGAUGAAUAAGCACCGGCUAACCCCGUGCCAGCAGCCGCGGUAAUACGGAGGGUGCAAGCGUUAUCCGGAUUCACUGGGUUUAAAGGGUGCGUAGGUGGGCAGGUAAGUCAGUGGUGAAAUCUCUGGGCUUAACCCAGAAACUGCCGUUGAUACUAUCU